rnacentral:rRNA from 1 species
GACGAACGCUGGCGGCGUGCUUAACACAUGCAAGUCGAACGGUAAGGCCCUUCGGGGUACACGAGUGGCGAACGGGUGAGUAACACGUGGGUGAUCUGCCCUGCACUUCGGGAUAAGCCUGGGAAACUGGGUCUAAUACCGGAUAGGACCACUGCCUGCAUGGGUGGUGGUGGAAAGCUUUUGCGGUGUGGGAUGGGCCCGCGGCCUAUCAGCUUGUUGGUGGGGUGAUGGCCUACCAAGGCGACGACGGGUAGCAGGCCGGAGAGGGUGACCGGCCACACUGGGACUGAGAUACGGCCCAGACUCCUACGGGAGGCAGCAGUGGGGAAUAUUGCACAAUGGGCGCAAGCCUGAUGCAGCGACGCCGCGUGAGGGAUGACGGCCUUCGGGUUGUAAACCUCUUUCAGCGCCGACGAAGCGCAAGUGACGGUAGGUGCAGAAGAAGGACCGGCCAACUACGUGCCAGCAGCCGCGGUAA